ensembl:lncRNA
GUGUGUCCCCAUUCUGUCACGUGUGACCUCGUGUCACGUGUCCCCACGUCACAUGUGUCCGUGUUGCACGUCGCUGUCACACGUCACGUCUUCAUGUCACGUGUGUCCCCAUGUCAUGUCAUUGUGUCACGUGUGUCCUUGUGUCACGUGUCCCCAUGUCACGUGUGUCCGUGUUGCACGUCGCUGUCACGUGUCAUGCCUUCAUGUCACGUGUGUCCUCAUGUCACGUCAUUGUGUCACGUGUGUUCUCGUGUCACGUGUCCCCAUGUCGUGUCACUGCAUCACGUGUGUCCCCUUUACAUGUCACUAUCACGUGUCAUAUCUCUGUGUCACGUGUGUCCCCAUGUCGUGUCAUUCUGUCACAUAGGUCGUUGUGCUACGUGUGUCCCCAUUGUGUGUCAUUGUCACGUGUCAUGUCAUGUCACACAUGUCCCCAUGUCAGGUGUGUCCAUGUUGCACGUCGCUGUCACGUGUCACGCCUUCAUGUCACGUGUGUCCUCGUGUCAUAUCGCUGUGUCACUUGUGUGUCCUUGUGUCACACGUCCCCAUGUCAUGUCAUUGUGUCGCGUGUGUCCUUGUGUCACGUGUCCCCAUGUCACGUGCGUCUGUGUUGCACGUCGCUGUCACGUGUCAUGCCUUCAUGUCACGUGUGUCCCCAUGUCAUGUCGCUGUGUCACUUGUGUGUCCUCGUGUCACACGUUGUCAUGUCAUUGCGUCACGUGUCCCCGUGUCAUGUCGUUGUCACACGCGUCCCCAUCUCAUGUCUCUGUGUCACGCGUGUCCCCUUUCCAUGUCACUCUCACAUGUCACGUGCUCAUGUCACGUGUGUCCCCAUCUCGUGUCGUUCUGCCACUUGUGUUCCCGUUGUGUGUCAUGUGUCACGUCCUCGUGUCACAUGUGUCCCCAUGUUAUGUUAUUGUCACGUGUGUCCCCAUGUCACAUGCGUCCCCAUUCUGUCACGUGUGACCUUGUGUCACGUGUCCCCACAUCACGUCCCCGUGUCACGUGUGCCCGUGUUGCACGUCGCUGUCACGUGUCACGUGUUCAUGUCACAUGUGUCCCCAUGUCAUGUCGCUGUGUCACUUGUGUGUCCUCGUGUCACACGUCCCCAUGUCAUGUCAUGUGAUUGUGUCACAUGUCCCCAUGUCACGUGUGCCCCCUUUACAUGCCACUGUCCCAUGUCUCGUUCUCAUGUCACGUGUGUUCCUGUGUCACAUGUGUCCUCACUGUGUGUCACUGUUAUGCGUCACAUCAUCACGUGUCAUGCGUGUCCGCUUCUCACACGUGUCGCGUUGUCACAUCAUUGUGUCACAUGUGUCCCCAUGUCAUGUGAUUGUGUUGCGGGUGUCCUCAUGUCACGUGUUCCCGUGUCACGUCUCUGCGUCACGCGUGUCCCGUUUCCAUGUCACUCUCACGUGUCACAUGCUCAUGUCACGUGUGUCCCCAUCCCAUGUUGUUCUGACACGCGUGUCCCUGUGUCAUGUUUUUGUGUCACGCGUGUCCCCAUGUCUCGUGUGUCCCCGUGUCAUGUUAUUGCCACACGUGUCCCAAUCUCACACCGUUGUGUCACAUGUGUCCUUGUGUCACGUGUGUCCACGUCAUGUCUUCGUGUCACGUGUGUCCCUAUCUUGUGUCGUUGUGUCACAUGUGUCCCCGUGUCACGUGUCCCCAUGUCGCGUCUCCAUCUCACGUCAUUGCGUCACGUGUGUUCUUGUCACGUGUGCCCUUGUGUCAUGUCAUUGCAUCACGUGCGUCCCCGU